rnacentral:rRNA from 1 species
GGCCAGCAGCCGCGGUAAAACGUAGGAGGCAAGCGUUAUCCGGAUUCACUGGGCGUAAAGGGCAAGUAGGCGGUAGCCAAAGUUGGGCGUGACAUCCCCUGGCUUAACUGGGGGGGGUCGUUCAAAACUAGGUUACUUGAGGGCAGGAGAGGGAAGCGGAAUUCCUAGUGUAGCGGUGGAAUGCUCAGAUAUUAGGAAGAACACCAGUGGCGAAGGCGGCUUCCUGGCCUGCACCUGACGCUGAGAGGCGAAAGCUAGGGGAGCGAACGGGCUUAGAUACCCCGGUAGUCCUAGCUGUAAACGUUGGAUACUGGGUAUUGGGGGUAUCAACUCCCUCAGUGCCGAAGCUAACGCGUUAAGUAUCCCGCCUGGGGACUACGGCCGCAAGGUUAAAACUUAAAGGAAUUGGCGGGGGAU